CCAAUAGCGUAUAUUAAAGUUGUUGCAGUUAAAAAGCUCGUAGUUGAAUUUCGGGAUCAAUAUGUUGGUCGUGCCUUGGUACGUACUAGUUUAUUGGUUUCUCUCUUCUGACGAACCAUGAUGUCAUUAAUUUGGUGUCAUGUGGAAUCAGAACUGUUACUUUGAAAAAAUUAGAGUGUUUAAAGCAGGCUCACGCUUGAAUACAUUAGCAUGGAAUAAUGAAAUAGGACGUUUGAUUCUAUUUUGUUGGUUUCUAGGAUUGACGUAAUGAUUAAUAGGGAUAGUUGGGGGCAUUAGUAUUCAAUUGUCAGAGGUGAAAUUCUUGGAUUUAUUGAAGACUAACUACUGCGAAAGCAUUUGCCAAGGAUGUUUUCAUUAAUCAAGAACGAAAGUUAGGGGAUCGAAGACGAUCAGAUACCGUCGUAGUCUUAACCAUAAACUAUGCCGACUAGGGAUCGGAUGAUGUUAAUUUUUUAAUGACUCAUUCGGCGCCUUACG
rnacentral:rRNA from 1 species